UGGGAAGAAUGUUGUUGUUGAUGCUGCAGAUGAAAAAGACUUCUUAUCCGAUAUAUACUCUAGAGAAUGGAAGGAUCGAAGACUGAGAUAUUCCAGAGAAGGGAGAUGUUCCAACCUUGGCAGAUGCUCACAUUUUGGACACCAUUCUAUAUCAAUUUUGACGAUAUUUGCAAUAGAAGAAAGCCAAUUUGAAAUCUUCACACCUUCAUAGUACCCAACCGACAAUUCUUUCAAGUUAGGGUGAGGUUGUAGGUUAUCCAACAACAACUCAAUAUCUUCACUAUCUCUGUCCUCAACCAAAAUCAAAGAGCGAAAGUGGCUGUCUCUCAUGCCCUGCCAAUCAAAAUUCAAGGAACGAAGGUGUUUCUUUUCCUUGAGAU
rnacentral:misc_RNA from 1 species